rnacentral:rRNA from 1 species
UACGUAGGGUGCGAGCGUUAAUCGGAAUUACUGGGCGUAAAGCGUGCGCAGGCGGUUUUGUAAGCCAGAUGUGAAAUCCCCGGGCUCAACCUGGGAAUGGCAUUUGGGACUGCAAGGCUGGAGUGCGGCAGAGGGGGAUGGAAUUCCGCGUGUAGCAGUGAAAUGCGUAGAUAUGCGGAGGAACACCGAUGGCGAAGGCAAUCCCCUGGGCCUGCACUGACGCUCAUGCACGAAAGCGUGGGGAGCAAACAGG